rnacentral:rRNA from 1 species
UACGUAGGGUGCAAGCGUUGUCCGGAAUUAUUGGGCGUAAAGAGCUCGUAGGCGGUCUGUCACGUCGGCUGUGAAAACCCGAGGCUCAACCUCGGGCCUGCAGUCGAUACGGGCAGACUAGAGUUCGGUAGGGGAGACUGGAAUUCCUGGUGUAGCGGUGAAAUGCGCAGAUAUCAGGAAGAACACCUAUGGCGAAGGCAGCUUGCUGGGACGGUACUGACGCUGAGACGCGAAAGCGUGGGGAGCAACAGG